GACGAACGCUGGCGGCGUGCUUAACACAUGCAAGUCGAACGGAAAGGCCAUGCUUUUGUGGGGUGCUCGAGUGGCGAACGGGUGAGUAACACGUGAGUAACCUGCCCUUGACUUUGGGAUAAAUUCAGGAAAAUGGGGCUAAUACCGGAUAGGAGCUCCUGCUGCAUGGUGGGGGUUGGAAAGAUUCGGCGGUUGGGGAUGGACUCGCGGCUUAUCAGCUUGUUGGUGGGGUAGUGGCUUACCAAGGCUUUGACGGGUAGCCGGCCUGAGAGGGUGACCGGCCACAUUGGGACUGCGAUACGGCCCAGACUCCUACGGGAGGCAGCAGUGGGGAAUAUUGCACAAUGGGCGGAAGCCUGAUGCAGCAACGCCGCGUGCGGGAUGACGGCCUUCGGGUUGUAAACCGCUUUCGCCUGUGACGAAGCGUGAGUGACGGUAAUGGGUAAAGAAGCACCGGCUAACUACGUG
rnacentral:rRNA from 1 species